rnacentral:lncRNA from 1 species
AAAAAAUGCGUUGACCAUAUAUCGAUACGUUUUACUGUUAUACAAUUAUAUUGUAAGAUUAUUUCAAAGUUUCCCAGAGGUUGCCACGAGCUCUUGAAUGCUCGUCAAUCAGUUAUUGGUUAGGGAUGAAAUAGGUGUUGUGUUAUUUCUUUGUCCCUCUGUUCUUUCUUUUUCUUUUGCUGUUAGCAUCCUUUGUAUCAAAAGAAAUUCUCCAAGCACCA